UACGUAGGCAGCAAGCGUUGUUCGGAGUUACUGGGCGUAAAGGGUGUGUAGGCGGUUUUCUAAGUCUGGUGUGAAAUCUCCCGGCUCAACUGGGAGGGUGCGCCGAAAACUGGAAGGCUAGAGUGCGGGAUGGGAGAGUGGAAUUCCUGGUGUAGCGGUGAAAUGCGUAGAUAUCAGGAGGAACACCUGUGGUGUAGACGGCUCUCUGGACCGCAACUGACGCUGAAACACGAAAGCGUGGGUAGCAAACAGG
rnacentral:rRNA from 1 species